rnacentral:lncRNA from 1 species
CACAGGCAAUAUUCACAAAGUGAAUUUUCGGACCCACUUAUAAGCGCCCGAAACAUAGGAUCCGAAUUGGCUUCCAAUUUCAGUUUAAUUUAGUUCAAUUCAACACUCAAGAUCUGGGCGACCCAAACAUGGUAUGGGCGCCCGAAUCUGGCAAAACUCCAGUUUUACUUAUUUGAGUGCGCUAAUUCCAUUUCUGACGACUCCGACUCAGUCCGACACUCUCCAGAUGUGUCGACCAGUCAUUAAUAUUGUAGCCAAUAUUAUCCAAAACUCUGAAACACUACACCUAAUCACCCAUUUUUCCAAUCCGGCCUAGGAGGCCGGAUUAGAAGUUGAAUCCGGACGGAAUUGAUAUUUAUUCGGAUUAAAUUUAUUUUUUCAACUUUUUUAAUUAAAAUAUGAGUUCAAAUUUAGAAAAUAAAUAUAUAAUUUUAAAUUUUAAUGUGAACUUGAAUUAAAAAUUAAAAUUUAAUCAAGUAUUUCGAAUAUAACUUAUGAAUUUGAAUUUAAAUUAAAUU